CCCCUUGAAAUAAAACAAAGUAACGUUAAGAAAAGGCCUGUUGAAGGCGCCUGGUCUCAGCCGUUGAGAGGACAGCCUGUCUCACCGCCUGUGCCCUAGA